rnacentral:rRNA from 1 species
GCUGGCGGCAUGCUUCAGACAUGCAAGUCGAACGAGAUCUUCGGAUCUAGUGGCGCACGGGUGAGUAACGCGUGGGAACCUGCCUUUCAGAAUGGGAUAACAGUUGGAAACGACUGCUAAUACCGUAUACGCCCUCCGGGGGAAAGGUCAGCCGCUGAAAGAGGGGCCCGCGUCUGAUUAGCUUGUUGGUGGGGUAAAAGCCUACCAAGGCAACGAUCAGUAGCUGGUCUGAGAGGAUGAUCAGCCACACUGGGACUGAGACACGGCCCAGACUCCUACGGGAGGCAGCAGUCGGGAAUAUUGGACAAUGGAGGAAACUCUGAUCCAGCAAUGCCGCGUGUGUGAUGAAGGCCCUAGGGUUGUAAAGCACUUUCAACGGUGAAGAUGAUGACGGUAGCCGUAGAAGAAGCCCCGGCUA